rnacentral:rRNA from 1 species
AGAGCGAACGCUGGCGGCAGGCUUAACACAUGCAAGUCGAGCGGGCGUAGCAAUACGUCAGCGGCAGACGGGUGAGUAACGCGUGGGAACAUACCUUUUGGUUCGGAACAACACAGGGAAACUUGUGCUAAUACCGGAUAAGCCCUUACGGGGAAAGAUUUAUCGCCGAAAGAUUGGCCCGCGUCUGAUUAGCUAGUUGGUGAGGUAAUGGCUCACCAAGGCGACGAUCAGUAGCUGGUCUGAGAGGAUGAUCAGCCACAUUGGGACUGAGACACGGCCCAAACUCCUACGGGAGGCAGCAGUGGGGAAUAUUGGACAAUGGGCGCAAGCCUGAUCCAGCCAUGCCGCGUGAGUGAUGAAGGCCCUAGGGUUGUAAAGCUCUUCGCUAGGGACGAUAAUGACGGUACCUAGACAAGAACGCCCGGCUAACUUCGUGCCAGCAGCCGC